GGAUAUAGCUCAGUUGGUAGAGUGUUUGUUUGCCUCGUAUGCACAAGGCCCUGGGUUCAAUCCCCAGUACCA
rnacentral:tRNA from 1 species